UACGGAGGGUGCGAGCGUUGUCCGGAAUCACUGGGCGUAAAGGGCGCGUAGGCGGCGCGGGGAGUCAAAGGUGAAAGCUCGGCGCUCAACGCCGAGUCGGCCGUCGAUACUCCCGUGCUCGAGCACUGUAGAGGCAGGUGGAAUUCCGGGUGUAGCGGUGGAAUGCGUAGAGAUCCGGAAGAACACCGGUGGCGAAGGCGGCCUGCUGGGCAGUAGCUGACGCUGAGGCGCGACAGCGUGGGGAGCAAACAGG
rnacentral:rRNA from 1 species